rnacentral:rRNA from 1 species
GUACUGAAACAUACACUUGAAGGAGGAUUUAGCAGUAAGCAGGAAAUAGAGCGUCCCGCUGAAACUGGCCCUGAAGCGCGCACACACCGCCCGUCACUCUCCCCAAAAACCCCAGCCAAUUAAUUAAAAUCUAAUAAUCAAAGAGGGGAGGCAAGUCGUAACAUGGUAAGUGUACCGGAAGGUGCGCUUGGAAAAAUC